UAUUCCUACGGGGGGCAGCAGUGGGGGAUAUUGCACAAUGGGGGAAACCCUGAUGCAGCGACGCCGCGUGUGGGAAGACGGUCCUCUGGAUUGUAAACCACUGUCCCCAGGGACGAAGAUGACGGUACCUGGGGAGGAAGCUCCGGCUAACUACGUGCCAGCAGCCGCGGUAAUACGUAGGGGGCAAGCGUUAUCCGGAUUUACUGGGUGUAAAGGGAGCGUAGACGGCAGUGCAAGUCUGGAGUGAAAGGCGGGGGCUCAACCCCCGGACUGCUCUGGAAACUGUACGGCUGGAGGGCAGGAGG
rnacentral:rRNA from 1 species